UAAUGCGGUAGUCCAUCAUAUUGAAUAAUUUUUAUUUGGUUGGUUCUAAGCCUUGAUGACGCUCUUGCAUGAUAGAACCUUAUGGUACUAAUUUUACCUUGCCACGUUGUCUUUCUUCACGAGCAAUUGAGUGAACUGAACUUUCAAUUUUUGCUUAACCAUUUUCUGAAGAAGCCCUCUGAUUUCAUUAGGGGUCUACCUUCCUAGAGCCAGUCCAUAAAGGCCAAGGGAAAUGUGACUCUAGGUUACAGUUACCAAGUCGACAAAGUCAUUUCUGAACUUCCAAGUAUUUUCAUAACGGAAAAUCUUUGAUCUGGAGAAACAUAUUAGUAAAUUGAAUAAGGAAUUGGAUUAGAUCCAUUUCUUGCUUCAAAAUGUCUGCUUUCCCAAAAUCAAAGAUGUAAGCACCUUACCGUGCUAUAGAUUAUAUCCAACAUCUAUGUAAUGCAGCUAUAUCCCUCCA